rnacentral:tRNA from 1 species
CGAAGUCGUAGCGCAGAGGUCGUCGCGCCUUAGCUGCGAGCAGGAGGACGCCGGUUCGAAUCCGGUCGGCUUCGCCC